UACCAGCUCCCUGAGUGGUAAGGACGAUUAUUUGGCCUAAAGCGUCCGUAGCCGGCUUAUCAAGUCUUUUGUUAAACCCAAUGAUUCAAUCAUUGAUCUGCAAGAGAUACUGUUAUGCUAGAGGACGGGAGAGGUCGACGGUAGUCCAGGGGUAGGAGUGAAAUCCUAUAAUCCUUGGAGGACCACCAGUGGCGAAGGCGGUCGACUAGAACGUGCCUGACGGUGAGGGACGAAAGCUGGGGGAGCGAACCGGAUUAGAUACCCGGGUAGUCCCAGCUGUAAACGACGCGGGCUAGGUGUUGGGGUAGCUACGAGCUACUCCAGUGCCGCAGAGAAGUUGUUAAGCCCGCCGCCUGGGGGAGUACGGCCGCAAGGCUGAAACUUAAAGGAAUUGGCGGGGGAGCACCACAAGGGGUGAAGGCUGCGGUUU
rnacentral:rRNA from 1 species